AUACUUACUUGGCGCGGGGCUACCGUGAUCACGAAGGCGGUUCCCCCAGGGUGAUGCCCCUCCAUUGCACUAGGGUUGGGUUGACCCCUGCGAAUAUCCAAAAUAUGGAUAUCUCGGGCGUGCAAUUUUUGGUAGUUGGGACUGCGUACGCGCUGUCCUGU
rnacentral:snRNA from 1 species